rnacentral:miRNA from 1 species
UUUCGGACAAUUCAAUCUGGGC